GCAUUAAUGGUGUAAUGGUCAGCACGCUCGGCGCGUAUUCGAGAAGUCCGUGGUUCGAGUCCCGGCGAGGGCA
rnacentral:tRNA from 1 species